AGUAACGCGUAGGUAACCUGCCUCAUANCGGGGGAUAACUAUUGGAAACGAUAGCUAAUACCGCAUAAGAGUAAUUAACACAUGUUAGUUAUUUAAAAGGAGCAAUUGCUUCACUGUGAGAUGGACCUGCGUUGUAUUAGCUAGUUGGCGAGGUAAAGGCUCACCAAGGCGACGAUACAUAGCCGACCUGAGAGGGUGAUCGGCCACACUGGGACUGAGACACGGCCCAGACUCCUACGGGAGGCAGCAGGC
rnacentral:rRNA from 1 species